rnacentral:sRNA from 1 species
AUGCAGCAGAAGUUGCAAAAUGAUCUAACUGCAGAAGUAGCAGGUAUCCACUAACCAUGCCUCCACCGAAAAGCCUACAAUAUCGAGACAAAACUGGGAUAGGUGUCCCUCUUGCAUUCCAAUAGUGCCCUGUUUUAUACCUGUCAGGGUAUCUAUGACUUGCUGCUACUAAAUAUGAACCUGGAUCCUAUAUAGCUUCUCCUCUAGGAUUUACACACAAGGAAAAUCUGAAUCAAGAUCCAGUUUUGGAAGUAACAAAAGA